rnacentral:pre_miRNA from 1 species
GGCCUCUGCCUGUCCCAGGGGGAGGCCGGAUCCUGGGCUGUGUCCCUGGUGCCCUGUGCUCCGGGGCCUGCGGUGUUGGAUUCGUGGUCCCGGAAGCGCAGCCCCCUCCGCGGAGCCGCCGCCCGA